AAUAUGGGACAAUGGGGGCAACCCUGAUCCAGCCAUGCCGCGUGUGUGAAGAAGGNCUNNGGAUUNUNAAGCCCUUUAAGUUGNNNNNAAGGGGUUGAANCUAAUACCUUCAAUCUUUGACGUUACCAACAGAUUAAGCACCGGCUAACUCUGUUCCAGCAGCCGCGGUAAUACAGAGGGUGCCAGCGUUAAACGGAAUUACUGGGCGUAAAGCGCGCGUAGGUGGUUCAGUAAGAUUGGUGUGAAAUCCCCGGGCUUAACCUGGGAACUGCUUUCAUAACUGCUGAGCUAGAGUACGGUAGAGGGUAAUGGAAUUUCCUGUGUAGCGGUGAAAUGCGUAGAUAUAGGAAGGAACACCAGUGGCGAAGGCGACUACCUGGACUGAUACUGACACUGAGGUGCGAAAGCGUGGGGAGCAAACA
rnacentral:rRNA from 1 species